AUGGGAAAAGCUGUGAGGAGAGGUUCCUCGUGUGCCAGGUGCUUGUUAACGUGCUGCACUACUGCCUUCUCUGUGAGGCUGUGGUGCAGCAGAUCCUCAUGCAGAUUGGUGGAGGACUGGAAACAAAGGGGGGAAUCGGAGGAAGAAGUUGUGGAAAAGGAAAAGAUCAAACAUUCCCUAAAGUGUGGUAGAAGGCAGGAAGAAUGACACUUGCUAAUUUGAAUUUCAGAACACACCUAAACCGCAUUCUGAUCUCCAGCACCCCACCUCUUGGAGCAUUUGACCAGCUUGCAGAAAACUGUUCUUCAGUUCUAUAAAUUUAAAUCUGCCUUUCUCGCCUUUGAAGACAGUGCCCUAUUACUGCCCUUGUUUGAAAAGAAGACUACUCCUUCUUUUGGAGUUCCUCUGCUUACAAGAAGCCCUUCAAAACUUGCUGAGCCAGAGGCGAGUUGGGUGCUUCCUCUGCCCAUCAAGGCAUCACCUGGGAGGAGAACCACCUGUAAGUAGUCAUCUUCAUGAGAGAUCCUCUAGAGUCAAGAAGGAUGGCUUUAAAUCAUCACCAGCAGAAAGGGGUAGGUAGAACCAGAGCUCUCCCAGGUCUACUGACUGUGCUGCCUACAAAGUGAUACAUGCAGUCAGAGGCUGUGGAUUGUCUUAUGGUUUGUGGUUUGAGUUCCUUAAGAGAAGGUUUUGUAUUUUUUAUUUAUGAUCUGGAGAUUUUAAAGCCCCAGAGUGGGAUGGGAUUUAGUGGUGACAUCUUGUUCUGAGUACUUCCCAUCAGCCAGUCCUGAGCAGAUCCUACUGAGUGUGCUGCUUUUGAUGAUUUCCUACUGUCUUUCUGUAAAUCAGUGCUAGACCCACAUCUUUAAAACUACCAAUAGAUUGGGUAUCCCC
rnacentral:lncRNA from 1 species